rnacentral:rRNA from 1 species
UAGUCCGCACCGUAAACGAUGCUCACUCGUUGUUGGCGAUAGACAGUCAGCGACCAAGCGAAAGCGUUAAGUGAGCCACCUGGGGAGUACGAUCGCAAGAUUGAAACUCAAAGGAAUUGACGGGGGUCCGCACAAGCGGUGGAGGAUGUGGUUUAAUUCGACGCAACGCGAAGAACCUUACCAGGGCUUGACAUCUAGAGAAUCUUUCCGAAAGGAGAGAGUGCCUCCGGGAGCUCUAAGACAGGUGGUGCAUGGCUGUCGUCAGCUCGUGUCGUGAGAUGUUGGGUUAAGUCCCGCAACGAGCGCAACCCUCGGGUUUAGUUGCCAAGGUCCAGUAAUGGAUACAGAACUCUAAGGAGACCGCCGCUGAUAAAGCGGAGGAAGGUGGGGAUGACGUCAAGUCAUCAUGGCCUUUAUGCCCAGGGCUGCACACGUCCUACAAUGCGGCGUACAAAGGGAAGCGAACUCGCGAGAGCAAGCAAACCCCAAAAAGCGACCGCUCAGUUCGGA